rnacentral:rRNA from 1 species
CCUACGGGAGGCAGCAGUAGGGAAUUUUGCGCAAUGGGCGAAAGCCUGACGCAGCAACGCCGCGUGAUCGAGACGCCCUUCGGGGUGUAAAGACCUGUUUGUGGGGACGAAACUUGACGGUACCCAUAGAGGAAGCACUGGCAAACUACGUGCCAGCAGCCGCGGUACUACGGGGGGUGCAAGCGUUGUCCGGAAUCUUUGGGCGUAACGGGUUCGUAGGCGGCACGAAAAGUCCGGUGUUAAAGGCAGAGGCUCAACUUCUGUACGGCACUGGAUACUUGCGAGCUAGAAUGCGGUAGAGGUAAGGGGAAGUCCUGGUGUAGCGGUGAAAUGCUUAGAUAUCAGGAGGAACAUCGGUGGCGAAGGCGCCUUACUGGUCCGUAAUUGACGCUGAGGAACGAAAGCGAGGGUAGCAAAUAGGAUUAGAUACCCUUGUAGUC